UGGGGACCUGUUCCUAUGGGAUUCCCACGUUAUGUGGGAAAAUGUUGAACAUACUGUACACAUCAGCCCUGGAGCCACCUGUUUGGAAUCAUGUUGUCAGUGGUUGGCCUCUGUGUGCAGGGGUCAACUGGCAUUUCCUCCACCUCGCCGGGGCAACCAGAAGAAGCACACGGGCCAUUCCUUCCUUGACAGUGACCCUGAGAUCCUGCACAGCUCCAGCGACACAGCAGGAAAUCUACCUUUUAAAGCAAAAAACUGAUGACAAUUUGUUAAGAAGAUUAAAUAAACGCAACCUAGGAUGCACUUUCUCUGCUUUGAUGCUGGCUCUGGCAGAUACUCAAGGAAGUGGAGUCAGGCACUCUGUUUUGCUGCACUGUCUUGCUGUACCCACUAAUUGUGCUGAAGACUCCUACGGUUAUUCACUCUUCAGACCGCUGUGCGCUUGUGUCUUCCUAUUCUCUGACAAUCUCUACUCAUCAGAGUCUCUACUGAAGCUUGUCAGAUUCCAUUUCUCUUUCGUUCCCUUGAAUGAGUGAAAGGAAGAAGCUGGACAGUCUGUGCAGGACACUGUCGGUCCAGGGUGAGACCAGAAGGAAGAGCUGUGGGGCCAGGUUUGAGGGCUCAGCUGGAGCUAAGGGCAACUGGUUGCACAAAGCAGUAUGCAGGCAAGUGGGAAAGUGUGAAUCGACUCAGGAAAUUUCUGGAAAUAUUAAACCAAUGGCGUUCAAGCUCACUGGAAAACACUAAAAAAAG
ensembl:lincRNA